rnacentral:misc_RNA from 1 species
CUGAGGUUAAAUCACGUAUGUUUGCGUCCUGCCUGUGAUGCGUGGGGUUGAUGGCAUGCUGUGGGGUUGUGGGGGAUCACAUGUGUGGAGGUCUGUGCUUUGCUGUGUUGCGUGCCUGUGUGCGUGAUGUGGUGUUCGUGUGGUGGUUGAGAACUGUAUAGUGGAUGCAAGUAUCUUUAUUGUUGUAUGUGUUUGUGCGACGUGGUGUUGUGCAAAGUUGUGUAGUGCGAUCGGUGGAUGCCUUGGCACCAAGAGCCGAUAAAGGACGUUGUGACCUGCGAUAAGCCCCGGGGAGUUGGUAAGUUGACCUCUGCCCCGUUGGCCUCAUGUUUGUCAUCCCUCCCACCUUCCCCCCAAUUAGAUAAUCCAGGCUAACACGUGAAAGCCCCCCUACCACUCUCUAACUUUAAAAAGACCCGGCAAUUCACAAAACUUUUGCACCUAAUAAAAAGUCCCAUCAAAAAGGCAAAAAUAAAAGUUCCCACCCUACAAAAAAAUCAGUCUCUGCUCCAAAAAAAAAAAAA